CCAAAAUAAAUACAGAAGUUUUCGUGUCUAACUUUAAUCGUCUGUCUUAUUUAUUUUUAAAAAAAACUAAAAAAAACAUAAGUCACGCAAGUACUAUUCAUGUUUUAUAACCUAAUAAUAAAAAAAUACAAAUCGUAAAAAUAAAUUUAAAUAAGACGAAUGAUCAAAGCUAGACACAGAAACUUAUGAUUGCGGUUAUU
rfam:Oryza glumipatula chromosome 1, whole genome shotgun sequence.